rnacentral:rRNA from 1 species
GACGAACGCUGGCGGCGUGCCUAAUACAUGCCAGUUGAGCGCUGAAGGUUGGUACUUGUACCGACUGGAUGAGCAGCGAACGGGUGAGUAACGCGUGGGGAAUCUGCCUUUGAGCGGGGGACAACAUUUGGAAACGAAUGCUAAUACCGCAUAAAAACUUUAAACACAAGUUUUAAGUUUGAAAGAUGCAAUUGCAUCACUCAAAGAUGAUCCCGCGUUGUAUUAGCUAGUUGGUGAGGUAAAGGCUCACCAAGGCGAUGAUACAUAGCCGACCUGAGAGGGUGAUCGGCCACAUUGGGACUGAGACACGGCCCAAACUCCUACGGGAGGCAGCAGUAGGGAAUCUUCGGCAAUGGACGAAAGUCUGACCGAGCAACGCCGCGUGAGUGAAGAAGGUUUUCGGAUCGUAAAACUCUGUUGGUAGAGAAGAACGUUGGUGAGAGUGGAAAGCUCAUCAAGUGACGGUAACUACCCAGAAAGGGGCGGCUAACUACGUG